GAACGAGAGCGACCGGUGCUUGCACUGGUCAAUCUAGUGGCGAACGGGUGAGUAACACGUGGGUAACCUGCCCAUCAGAGGGGGAUAACAUUCGGAAACGGAUGCUAAAACCGCAUAGGUCUUCGAACCGCAUGGUUUGAAGAGGAAAAGAGGCGCAAGCUUCUGCUGAUGGAUGGACCCGCGGUGCAUUAGCUAGUUGGUGAGGUAACGGCUCACCAAGGCCGUGAUGCAUAGCCGACCUGAGAGGGUGAUCGGCCACAUUGGGACUGAGACACGGCCCAAACUCCUACGGGAGGCAGCAGUAGGGAAUCUUCCGCAAUGGACGCAAGUCUGACGGAGCAACGCCGCGUGAGUGAAGAAGGUUUUCGGAUCGUAAAACUCUGUUGUUAGAGAAGAACAAGUGCUAGAGUAACUGUUAGCGCCUUGACGGUAUCUAACCAGAAAGCCACGGCUAACUACGUGCCAGCAGCCGCGGUAAUACGUAGGUGGCAAGCGUUGUCCGGAUUUAUUGGGCGUAAAGCGAGCGCAGGCGGUUCCUUAAGUCUGAUGUGAAAGCCCCCGGCUCAACCGGGGAGGGUCAUUGGAAACUGGGGAACUUGAGUGCAGAAGAGGAGAGUGGAAUUCCAUGUGUAGCGGUGAAAUGCGUAGAUAUAUGGAGGAACACCAGUGGCGAAGGCGACUCUCUGGUCUGUAACUGACGCUGAGGCUCGAAAGCGUGGGUAGCAAACAGGAUUAGAUACCCUGGUAGUCCACGCCGUAAACGAUGAGCGCUAAGUGUUGGAGGGUUUCCGCCCUU
rnacentral:rRNA from 1 species